GCCCCAUUAACUCAGUUGGUUAGAGCGUCGUGCUAAUAACGCGAAGGUCGCGGGUUUGAGACCUGCAUAGGCCA
rfam:Erythranthe guttata cultivar DTN x IM62 scaffold_6_contig_26, whole genome shotgun sequence.